rnacentral:tRNA from 1 species
UGUUAUGUAGCUUAGUUGGUUAAAGCGCCGAAGCGCAUAGGAAGUCGUGGGUUUGAAUCCCACCAGGACGC